CAAACUUGGAGAUAGCUCGUACUCCCCGAAAUGCAUUUAGGUGCAGCCUCGGGCAAGUACUGAUGAGAGGUAGAGCGACUGAUUGGAUGCGAGGGCUUCACCGCCUAUCAAGUCCGGCCAAACUCCGAAUGCUCAUCAGCAACAUCCCGGGAGUGAGGGCAUGGGUGCUAAGGUCCAUGUCCGAGAGGAGAAGAAUCCAGAUCACCGGCUAAGGUCCCCAAAUAGCAGCUAAGUUGCAUUAACGAAGUCCGACCGCAGCGACAGCCAGGAUGUUGGCUUGGAAGCAGCCAUUCAUUUAAAGAGUGCGUAACAGCUCACUGGUCGAGGGGUCGGGCAUGGAUAAUAAUCGGGCAUAAGCUGUUUACCGAAGCCGUGAGAUCGAAAAGAUCGGUAGGGGAGCAUUCCAUUAUCAGCGUUGAAGAUGAGGGGUGACCCUUGUUGGAGCGGAUGGAAAAGCAAAUGCAGGUAUAAGUAACGAUAAAGGGGGUGAAAAACCUCCUCGCCGAAAGACCAAGGGUUCCUGAUCAACGCUAAUCGGAUCAGGGUUAGUCGGGACCUAAGGCUAAGCCGAAGGGCGAUGCCGAUGGAAGAACCGGUUAAUAUUCCGGUACUGCUUUGUGGAGUGAUGUGGAGACGGAGAAGUGACAGCUCGGCCAUCUGACGGAAUAGGUGGUUAAAGGGUGUAGACGUUGAUUGUUGUAGGCAAAUCCGCGACAAGAGUUGAACCUGACAGUAUGCAGCGUACUUGUACAAUGUAAUAAGAGCGUAAUCAGGCUCCCAAGAAAACCCGCUAAACAUAUCUUCAAAGCACCCGUACUCGAAACGGACACACGUGGUCGGGUUGAAAAUACUAAGGCGCUCGAGUGAUUCACGGUUAAGGAACUAGGCAAAAUGGUCCUGUAACUUCGGGAUAAAGGACGCCAAUAGCAAUAUUGGUCGCAGAGAAUAGGCCCAGGCGACUGUUUAACAAAAACACAUGACUAUGCGAAAUCGAAAGAUGAGGUAUAUGGUCUGACACCUGCCCGGUGCCGGAAGGUUAAGAGGAGAUGUCAUCCGCAAGGAGAAGCAUUGAAUUGAAGCCCCGGUAAACGGCGGCCGUAACUAUAACGGUCCUAAGGUAGCGAAAUUCCUUGUCGGGUAAGUUCCGACCUGCACGAAUGGUGUAACGAUCUGGGCACUGUCUCAGCCGCGAGCUCGGUGAAAUUGUAGUAUCGGUGAAGAUGCCGAUUACCCGCAACGGGACGAAAAGACCCCGUGAACCUUUACUAUAGCUUUGCAUUGGAUUUGGGUAACAAAUGUGUAGGAUAGGCCGGAGACUAUGAAGCGGGUACGCCAGUAUUCGUGGAGUCGCCGUUGAAAUACGGCCCUUUUGUUAUUUGGGUUCUAACUCGC
rnacentral:rRNA from 1 species